rnacentral:rRNA from 1 species
UACGUAGGGUGCGAGCGUUGUCCGGAAUUAUUGGGCGUAAAGAGCUCGUAGGCGGUGUGUCACGUCGGCCGUGAAAACCUGCAGCUUAACUGUGGGCGUGCGGUCGAUACGGGCAUCACUGGAGUUCGGCAGGGGAGACUGGAAUUCCUGGUGUAGCGGUGAAAUGCGCAGAUAUCAGGAGGAACACCGGUGGCGAAGGCGGGUCUCUGGGCCGGAACUGACGCUGAGGAGCGAAAGCGUGGGUAGCGAACAGG